GGGGAACUGAAACAUCUAAGUACCCAUAGGAAGAGAAAAUAAACAAUGAUUUCUGUAGUAGUGGCGAGCGAACCAGAAAGAGCCCAAACCAUAAGUAGAAAUACAUAUGGGGUACGGACUACCAUAAACUACUAACAAGUCUAAUAGAAUCAUCUGGGAAGGUGAACCAAAGACGGUGAAAGUCCAGUAUAUGAAAGAUAAGUUAGGGUAGGUAGAAUCCAGAGUAGUGCGAGACACAGGGAAUCUCGUAUGAAAGAGCGGGGACCAUCCCGUAAGGCUAAAUACUACUUGGUAACCGAUAGUGAACGAGUACCGUGAGGGAAAGGUGAAAAGGACCCCGGGAGGGGAGUGAAAGAGAACCUGAAACCCUAUGUUUACAAGCAGAUAGAGCGAUUUAAGGCGCGAUAUCGUACUUUUUGUAGAACGGUCCAGCGAGUUAUUGUAUGUGGCGAGGUUAAAUUCUAAGAAGGAAUGGAGCCGAAGAGAAAUCGAGUCUGAAAAGGGCGAAUAAGUCAUAUAUAAUAGACCCGAAACCGGGUGACCUAUCCAUGGUCAGGAUGAAGCUAAAGUAAAAUUUAGUGGAGGUCCGAACUGAUUGUCGUUAAAAAGGCACCGGAUGAACUGUGGAUAGCGGAGAAAUUCCAAUCGAACUCGGAGAUAGCUGGUUCUCCUCGAAAUAGCUUUAGGGCUAGCCUUGAGGUAAAACAUGUGGGGGUAGAGCACUGAAUGAUUUAGGGGCCAAACCAGGUUACCGACAUCUAUCAAACUGCGAAUACCAUGUGGAAGUACUCAGGAGUCAGACUGCGGGAGCUAAGUUCCGUGGUCAAAAGGGAAAGAGCCCAGACCGACAAUUAAGGUCCCAAAGAGAUAGUUAAGUGGAAAACGAUGUGAAAAUGCAAAGACAACCAGGAUGUUGGCUUAGAAGCAGCCAUACAUUAAAAGAGUGCGUAACAGCUCACUGGUCGAGUGAAUUUGCGCGGAAAAUUACCGGGGCUAAACUAUCCACCGAAAUUACGGAUUGCAGUACAUUUAACAAUGUAUGCGGAAAGAGAAAAGAAGAAAGAAGUAUAUAUUGUUAAGUGUACUGUAGUGGUAGAGGAGCAUUCUGUAGUAGGAAGAAGCUAAAGCGAGAGCAUUAGUGGACGAGACAGAAGAGAGAAUGCUGGAAUAAGUAGCGAGAGCAAGGUGAGAAUCCUUGCCGUCGAAAGUCUAAGGUUUCCUGGGGAAGGUUCGUCCGCCCAGGGUAAGUCGGGACCUAAGGAGAGGCCGAGAAGGCGUAUCUGAUGGACAGCAGGUUGAAAUUCCUGCACUACCGAUACUUUUAAAAACGUCAAGGGACGCAGGAGAGGAAGGAAAGCGAGGAAGAGGAAAGACUCGUAUCGAAAGAUAUAGUGAAAAAAUGAAGUAACGAAUUUCCAAGAAUCACACUGACGAGAAAAGCUUGAUGACAUUAAGUAAAGGUACCCGUACCGCAAACCGACACAGGUAGAUGAGGAGAGGAUCCUAAGACGAACGGGAGAAGCAUUGUUAAGGAACUCGGCAAAAUGACCCCGUAACUUCGGGAGAAGGGGAACCUAGGUAAAACUAGGUCGCAGAGAAAAGGCCCAAGCAACUGUUUAACAAAAACACAGGUUUCUGCUAAAUCGAAAGAUGAAGUAUAGGAGCUGACGCCUGCCCAGUGCUGGAAGGUCAAGGGGAGAUGUUAGAAGAAAUUCGAAGCAUAGAACCAAAGCCCCAGUGAACGGCGGCCGUAACUAUAACGGUCCUAAGGUAGCGAAAUUCCUUGUCAGGUAAGUUCUGACCCGCACGAAAGGCGUAAUGAUUUGGGCACUGUCUCGACAAUGUACCCGGCGAAAUUGUAGUACUAGUGAAGAUGCUAGUUACCUGCGACAAGACAGAAAGACCCCAUGGAGCUUUACUGUAGUUUGAUAUUGGGUUUUGGUAAUUUAUGUACAGGAUAGGUGGGAGACAGAGAAGGAUGUGCGUCAGCAUAUCUGGAGUCAACGUUGGGAUACCACUCUUAAGUUAUUGAAAUUCUAACUUGUGAUCAUAAACUGGUCAGAGGACAAUGUCAGACGGGCAGUUUGACUGGGGCGGUCGCCUC
rnacentral:rRNA from 1 species